UGCUGCAGCUUGCUUAGGAAGGCUGGUGGGGAAGCUCUGGCCUACGCUGGCCUCUGACUUGCUGAGAAGAUCACAGGGCAGGCGGGGAACUGUGCAGCCUGGAAAAGCCCCGACAGCAGGAGGCGAUGCGGGUCUCUGCCAAAGAGAGGUGACAUCUGAGGCACCGUGGCGGCACCAUGGAGGGGAAUACAGGGUUAUUGUCCUGUCAAUCCGUGGUCCCUGAAGUGUCAUCUGGCUGAGUGAGCACACAGCUGUCAUUCUGCAAAGCACCAUGGGCCACUGAAGAGUUAUACAACAGGAUGUUCAUUCUAAGCUGUUAGAGGACGUAAUUCAGGACAGGAUGCUCACAGCAACAAACCAGCUUUUCUGCCCUUACCCUGGACUCUGCUUGCCAGUCUGAGUGACAGGGCACAUGCCAAUA